AAAUACGUCACAAAAAGCAUGCGAAGCACGUGAUCUUAUGUGCCACUAUUCAUUUUCUUCUUUUUCUCUUACUCUCACUCUCACCUCUGAGCUCUAAUCAACGCCUAUGGCUAUGUCCUCCGCCAUUUCUCUCUGCUUCGUUUUUCUCUUUGCCUUACAUUCUUCUUUACUCCUGCUUACCGUCGCCGGAACCUCCGAUUCUCAGGAGUUCGUCGUCGAGUUAGACCAUUCUAACUUCACCCACUUCGUAACCAACCUCGAUUUCCUUAUCGUCUCCUUCUACUCUCCAGGAUGUGGACGUUGUAAGAAGUUGGCCCCGGAGUACGAAAAAGCUGCCUAUAUCCUAAGUAAGCAUAAUCCUCAUUUGGUUCUAGCAAAAGUUAACAUUUCAAAACAAGCAAAUGUGGGACUUGCUGGAUCCGAUGGAAGAAUUUCUAUUAAGAUUGUGAGAGACGGAGGAAAGAAUGUUCAAGAAUACAAGGGUCCUUAUGAUGCAGAUGGUAUUGUUAAAUACGUGAAGAGACAGUAUGGGCCGGCUUCUAUUGAAAUAAAUACUCUGGAGGAUGCCCAAAUAUUCUUGUCUGACAAUAAGAUUGCUAUUGUUGGAAUAUUCCCUCAUUUUUCUGGGGAGGAGUUUGAAAACUAUACCAUCCUAGCCAAGAAUUUACGUCCUACUGAGGAAUUUUUUCAUACUUCAGAUGCCAAACUUCUUCCUCAGGGUGAAUCAUCUGUAGCCGGUCCCUUAAUGAGGGUAUUCAAGCCCUUCGAUGAGCUCUUUGUUGAUACUCAGGAUUUUGACGUGAAUGCUCUUGAGAAAUUUGUUGAAGAAUCAAUUGUACCUACAGUAACUAUUAUGGAUGGAGACCAGAUAAAUCAACGUCUAGUUGACAAUUUCAUGUAUAAUUCAAAUUCAAAGGUCAUGUUGUUUAUAAAUUUUAGCAGUGAGGUUGCUGCUUCCCUUAAGUACAAGUAUCAUGAACUUGCUGAGCUGUACAAAGGAGAUAACCUCAGUUUUCUGAUGGCAGAUAUUGGUGUUAGUUCUCAUGCGAUUAAGCAAUAUGGAAUUAAGGAUGAUCAAAUACCCUUUGUUAUCCUACUAAGUGAUGGAACAAAGUAUCUGAAAUCCAAUGUGGAGCCUGAUGAACUUUCUCCCUGGUUGAAAAAAUAUAAGAAUGGAGAAUUAGAACCAUACAUAAAAUCUGAACCUAUACCAGAGCAUAAUGAUGAACCUGUGAAAGUGGUGGUAGCGCACACAUUUCAGGACACAGUUUUCAACUCGAGGAAGAAUGUUCUGCUUGAGUUUUAUGCUCCUUCACAUAAAGUCUGCAAAGAACUGGCUUCAGUCUUUGAGGAUCUUGCCAUCUCAUAUCAAAGAGAUCCUGAUGUCAUAAUUGCUAAAUUUGAUAUCUUUGCAAAUGACAUACUACAUGACUUUGAGAUCUGGAAACUCCCUACUGUUUACUUCAAAUCGGCUGAUGGGAAUAUAUCACAAUACAUAGGGUAUGCAACGAAGGAAGACUUCAGAGAGUUCAUCGAAAAGAAUAGGUCUAAGCCUGCUGAUGAACAAUUGGAUGUGAAGGAUGAGCUCUAAAAGACCAUCUCUUUGCUUUUGCUUUUGCUUUGCUGACGAAGUUAGGAAGGGAGAAGCACUUGAAGCAAGAAACUUUUAUUGAGAAAAUACAGAGAUGGAGACUUCUGAGAGAGGAAAAGAGUCGACAUUUUACCAAGAUGGACAAAAGUUGGAUGAAAAUUAGGGAUAAGUUUUCUGUUGAGUACAGAGAAUGAGUUUUUCAGUUUAGAGGUCGCAAAACAUCACACAAAUAAUUAUGGAAAAUUAAGGUGUCCAUACAAGAAAUGUAUGAAUUCAAACUAGGACUCCUUAGAGGGUGUGAAGCAACAUCUAUUAACCACCGGAAUAGCCUCCUCCUAUAUCAACUGGGUGUAUCAUGGAGAGCCCUUGACCUUGAACAUAGGUAUACAAACAUUUAAUGAAGGAACAAGUAGUAGUUACCCGAUAGUUGAUGAAGGACGAGAUAUGCUUCUGUUGUGCAGAAUCAGAUGGUGGAUCUUCAGUCUCAGCCCGUCCCAGAGGGUUCUGAACCACUAACUCAGGAUGAGAUAUGCGAGGCAGUUUUGGGUAGACGACUGGGCUACUCAAAAGGCCUUGAUUGGGGCCCAAAACCUAAGUCUAGGACUGCCGCUUCAUCUUCUUCCUCCAAUAUGUAUGACUACCAGACACACAUAGCAGAGGUUAACGACCUCAAAAUGAGACUUGACAACGCUAACCAAAUUCUCGAAGAACAACGCCUGUGGGACGAGGAGCGAGAUCAAGUAAUUGCAGACCAAGCACGAAAAAUGGAAGAGAUGAAGAAGAUGAUCGGGGAGAUGAGUCGUGCAUAGAGAGACCCGCGAUCACUUGGGUUUGACGUCCACUGCACGAGAGCAUUAAAUAUUAAGUUUUUAUCAAUUUUAUGUAAUAUUUUGAAUUAUGUAAUUAAUUUCUUGUAUCGAACAUAUUUAACUUAUCAUUUGAUUUCAUAAUGAAUAAUUAAUACUUUUAUUUCUAUCAA